GCAAAAGAAAAAAAAAGCUGCAAUCCUCAACUCUUUCAUGACCCAUGCCAUUGCUGUGGCUUUGCAGCUCCUUCCAUCAGGAGGACAUUGGCACUUCUGACUCUUGGACAUUUGAACUCAGACUAGGACUUAUACCAUGGCCCUCCAAUGAUCAGGCCUUUGGUGUCAGGCUUAACUACACCACGGAUUUUCCUGGUUAUCCAGCUUGCAGAUGGCAGAUUGUGGGACCUCACAGCCUCCAUGACGAUGAAGAAGCAGGUAGAGAAAGUACUGUAGUCAACUGACGGAAAAAUGGUUUUCUUCAUGGAAUCAGCGAAUACCAGCCCGUUUCUUCAUCCUUAGUUGCACAAACCAUCCUCAC